AACCAUUCUCACCUGCGGCUAGACCUGCGGAAGGAUCAUUAUCGAGUGUUUAGAACUCCCAAACCCACUGCGAACCACAGCGUCGUUGCCUCGGCGGACCGCCCCGGCGCCCUCGGGCCCGGACCCAGGCGCCCGCCGGAGGGACCACAAACUCUUGUAUCUGGAUGCAUUGCUCUGAGUAAACAAGCAAAAUGAAUCAAAACUUUCAACAAUGGAUCU
rnacentral:misc_RNA from 1 species